rnacentral:rRNA from 1 species
UACGUAGGGGGCUAGCGUUGUCCGGAAUCAUUGGGCGUAAAGGGCGCGUAGGUGGCCAACUAAGUCAGACGUGAAAUCCCUCGGCUUAACCGGGGAACUGCGUCUGAUACUGGAUGGCUUGAGUUUGGGAGAGGGAUGCGGAAUUCCAGGUGUAGCGGUGAAAUGCGUAGAUAUUCGGAAGAACACCAGUGGCGAAGGCGACUUACUGGACAUCUGUUGACGCUGAGGUGCGAAAGCGUGGGGAGCAAACAGG